rnacentral:RNase_P_RNA from 1 species
CCCGCAGGCCAUCUUAUCGCGCCCCGGUCUCUUUCCGGGGUGAGGAAAGUCCGGACACCACAGCGCAGCGUAGCGGGUAACACCCGCCCUUCGCCAAGGCGGAGAGGACCAGUGCAACAGAAAGGAUGUACAGGUAAUGCUGUAGUGAAAUCAGGUAAACUCUACGCGGUGCAACGCCAUGUAAACCGGCAUUUGAGGGUUGCGCGCCCGACUCGCUCACAGCGGAUGCCGGAGGGUAGGCGGUUAGAGAUGCCGGGCAACCGGUAUCCCAGAUAAAUGAUAAGACUCGACAGAAUCCGGCUUACAGGCCUGCUUUUUUU